rnacentral:rRNA from 1 species
UACGUAGGGGGCUAGCGUUAUCCGGAAUUACUGGGCGUAAAGCGUACGUAGGCGGAUUUGUAAGUAGGGGGUGAAAUCCCCAGGCUCAACCUGGGAACUGCCUUCUAGACUGCAAGUCUCGAGAUCAGGAGAGGCGAGUGGAAUUCCGAGUGUAGAGGUGAAAUUCGUAGAUAUUCGGAGGAACACCAGUGGCGAAGGCGACUCGCUGGACUGAUACUGACGAUGAGGUACGAAAGCGUGGGGAGCAAACAGG